GGUAAUAGCUCAGUGGUAGAGCACAUGCUUAGCAUGCAUGAGGUCCUGGGUUCAAUCCCCAGUACUUCCA
rnacentral:tRNA from 1 species